rnacentral:lncRNA from 1 species
CCGGUUGUGGUUUGACCGGCAGUUUGCUUUCGCGAGCGGCCGGCCGUCAAGCGACUAGCGCGGAGACAAUUAUUUGCCGAUACAUGUCAAGAUAGUGUGACGUAGUCCCGCCACGUCGGUGACAAACAUGGUGAAAUAAAGGGGAAAAAAUCACCGACGAUUACGAUACCACCUAAUAUUCUGAGCGCAACUGUUUAGGUGUUAUCAGUGCCCUCAGUGAUAAAAUUCUUGAAGAAGAUGUGAAAACAAAGCCACAUUUGCUGAACUGUGGUGUUUUGGAUGAGUGCAUGGACAUCAACCUUGUAAGGCCCUUUUUCAGCAGUGAUGCAUGGCUCUCUAUAACGAGCACAGUGAAGGUGAAACAUAUCAAUGCACCAGUGGGAAUGUGAACAGUGUCACGAAGAGCUUGAGAAGUUUGACUAUUUUUUGUGAUUGGUGUCUCUGCUGGUACCAUAUACCUUGCACAUUGUUGAAGAGGCAGCCAAAAAAGAAACUGUGGCAAUGUUCCAAGUGUGUGACUAUUAUAUAGGUCAACAUUGUGCAUUGGCUUUCACGUCAACAUUGUACAAACAACUUUGUUACUUGUUAUUGAUGGCUUGCAUUGAUGUCAUUGAAAGCACCGUGUUGGAGCACCAGCAUGUGGGGACGUGGUGUUUGCGAUGCCACAUUAAUGUUAUCAAAACAUCACAUGAAUGUACUUUUGUUAUUUGCACACAGAGAUGUCAUUUCGGAAUAUACACCAGCCUCGGUAAAUUGCAGACUUCAGGUAUUAGUUUGACUAGUUAAGCAGUCAUACAGCCUUAAUAAGUAUAUGCUUUGCCUUGACAGUGCUAGUGCGUGUGGUACAAAUCAUGUCAUGCUUGUAAUCACAAUGGUGCACAUUCAGUUCAAGGAAACAAGAACAU